rnacentral:rRNA from 1 species
UACGUAGGGUGCAAGCGUUAUCCGGAAUUAUUGGGCGUAAAGAGCUCGUAGGCGGUUUGUCGCGUCUGCUGUGAAAACCCGAGGCUCAACCUCGGGCCUGCAGUGGGUACGGGCAGACUAGAGUGCGGUAGGGGAGAAUGGAAUUCCUGGUGUAGCGGUGGAAUGCGCAGAUAUCAGGAGGAACACCGAUGGCGAAGGCAGGUCUCUGGGCCGUAACUGACGCUGAGGAGCGAAAGCGUGGGGAGCGAACAGG